ensembl:lncRNA
CCCCCUGUUGCCAUGCCACCACCAACCACGUACCCUGGUGUGGCCUUGUGCCUCUGUUUAAAGAUGGGCUCUGCUUGGCUGUGUUUGGAGCACUUCUAACAUGCAGCUGGAGCUUCUCACUGUGUCCUGGAGAAGUCCGGUGGCCCCUUUAAAUGACAGCCAAGCUUCUGGACUGGAAGCUGCUAGAAGCAGCAGCAAGUUGUGAACGUCUGGCAACACAUGCGAAAAUCAUGCAGGAUAGGGGAUAAUUCUUUGUUGGGGACUCUUUGCAGGACACCAACCAUCCUGGCCCGUGGUCACACCUCAAUCCCAAGAAAUGGAUGAAGCCAAGCUCUCCCCACCGAUUUCCAAAACGCCUGCGGGUGGUGACACUACCCCGGUUGAAAAACACUGAUUUGGAGGUUUUCUCUUGGAAACCACGCGUGUGAGAGGGAAGGCGCAGACCUGUGUUGUACCUAGAGGUUGGCAUUUCUUUCAGUUUUGCUUUUGAUGAACAAAAUGUGAUACUAAUCCUGCACAGUGCUUCAUCUUCAGACAUAAAGUGGAUGAACUCGAUACUAGUCACAGGUCCCCCGUUUUAAAGACUGUUCACUCAGGGCAAGCGAGGACGAGUAAGGCUGCUCUCUGUGGACACGGGCUUUCUCUCUCUCUCUUUUUUUAAGGGUGAUAAGAGGGAAGAAAAGAUAAGUAGGCUGCAAACAUUUGAAGCAGGGCCUGGGACUUCAGAAGAGGCGUGAAGUGGGAGGCUGGGGGCCCAGGGCGACUUCCACUAGGAGGUGGAAUUAAACAAGGGCUUGGAGAACAGGAAGAAAAUUUUCAGGUACAAAUAGGGAGAAUGGGCGCUUAGCUGUGGAGGGGACAGUGGAGGCUGAUAGCUGGAGUCAGGAAACUGGGGGUCUGUUCAGGGAACCCUGAGUAGUUCCAUGUGGCUGGAGCAGGGGUUUGGAGGGAGGGAAGUGGACGGGUGGCUGCAGAGAUUGCUGGGUGAACUGCAGAGGCCUGGAAAGGAGGAGGGAAGGGAGGAGUGGAGGGAGGGAGCAGAUGUGCACCCGCAUCAACCCUGCCCUCGGGGAAGGGCCUGCCCUGCGGGAACCAUCCCGUACUGUGCUGUGGCUCCUUGGUGUCUGCCCCCACUAAGCUGCAGGCUCUGGGAGAGCAGGGGGACACAGUGCUCUAGGUGGGGGCCCAGGGCACACCAGUGUGGGCUCUCGACAACCCUUUGUUGAGUGAAUGAAUUUUUUUAAACAAAUUUACACACACCGGGAUCUGAGCAUAGAGCCCUGGCCCCUGCAGGCUCAGGUAUGGGGAACAGAAGGCAUUUGAGGCCCAGGUGAACUGGCCUCUUCGGCCUAAUGCCCAGUAUUCAGGUAGCCAGAAGGAUGGCUGCGAGUCCGGCCACUGGGCUCUCCCUCCACCUCACACGUGCCAAGAGGCCUUGGGAAAGUCUCCCCUUGGGGUCCUUGUAUCCAUUGCAUGAGGGGCCUGAACCCAAAGGGGGAGCCAGGUCCUCUCUGGCCCGCAUUCAAGCCUGGCUCCUUCAGGUCACCUGCUGGGAACCUGAGGUCACAGCCCAAGCAGCACUGCCCCCUGGUGGCAGCUGCCAAAAGGCAGGCGAGCCCUGGCCCCUCCAGGUCUGGUGUUUGUGGCUCGGGGUCUGACUCGGGUGGGCGCUCGCUCCAGAGGGCUGAGAACCGAGCACCCUGCAGUUGGUGGUUGUCAGGGCACUCGCUCCCAGUGGUGCUGCCCCGCCCCAUCAUCACAGAGGAAAGGCCCUGGGACCAUGUGAAUUCCUGUGUCUUUGUGUCCCUGGGAGGGGGCGUGAGGCGGAGCGGGGCUCAGUUAAUACCCUCCUCCCUCAUCUUCAUCAUCAUCACCACCACAAAGGACUCCAGCCUUAGGUUCCACAAAGCCCAGGCACGUCCACUUUAUCCUAAGUCCUCGCGGUACCUCUGUGGGGUUGGGCUGAUCCUCCCCCAUUUUGCUGAUGGGAAAACUGAGAUUCAGUGGCUGAGAGCCAGCCUCGCCCCUCCUCUGAUCCCCCUCCCUCCCUGACCUAGUCCAGGGCCCACUCACCCCUAAUGCUCCUCCAGAGGGCAGCCAGGGAGGUUUGCAAAAUCACAGCUCCAUCCAACACCAUCACGCCAGCGUGCACUGACCACUAGGUUGCAGACAUUUAAUCCUACGGAACUUGAGUCACGUGCUCAGGGGCACACAGCUGACAUCAGUGGCUCCCACAGGCUUCUUGAUAAAGGACCAACUUCUAAAGUGCACAGCCAAGCAGUCCAGACCCGCCCUCCCUCACCCCUCCAGCAAUGGCCCUUGGCUGUGGCCUGGAGCCCUGUGCUCGGCCACACUGACCUGCUCGCAGGCCCCGGCUGAGUGGGCUGUUUCACCGCCCUCCGCCUGUGCUGCUGGUCUCUGCCGCCGGCAGAACCAGCAGUACAGCUGACAAGUGUGCUGGGCCUUGGUUUUCAAAGCAUUUAUACAUCCACCAUCUCAUUAAAAGCUUAUUGCAACCUGUGUCAGAGCUUUUCUAUUAUCCCCAUUCUAGAGAUGAGGAGAACAAGGCUGCGAAGGAAGGGACUCCCCUGGUGACCGGCCCACCCCCCUGGCUGAGCCUGGAGAACUUCACAGGGGGCAUGAAGGGUGAGGGGCUGCUCCACUGAGCUGGGGGAGCCAGGUGGGCCCUGGAAGCAAUUCGUGUUUUCAGGUUUCCCUGGGAGGAGGAGACGGUUUGCUCCCAGGAGCCGUCCCUCGUGGCAGCCGGGGCUGUGAAUCCACGCUGCGGCCUCCUUGCUCUGCCGACACCCUGCUGUGGUCCGACUCCAGUCGGUGCUGUCCCUCUACCUCGGUGCUCACUCAGCUGUGCUUCUCUUUGUCUCCACCUGCCACUCUCUUUCAUUCUCCUCUUUCUCUCUCUCCAGGACGGUCUGUCUGUCUGUCUCUGGUCUGUCUGUCUGUCUCUCCCUCCUGUCUCUCCCUCCUGUCUCUCUCUCUGCUGGUCCUUCACUCUCUCUGGAUCCUCACUCCGUCUUUCUGUGUGUUUAUCUCUCUCAUUCACCCAUCGCCUCCUGCAUCCUCUCCCCCAUCCCUUUUCCAUCCGCGUAGCUCCCUUUCCACCUUUCCCGAGUCUUGGGGAAGAGGAGGUGGUGAGGACUAGGAAGGGACCUCUGAGAAGCCUGUGAGUCUCAACUCCUUGCCUGGGGACUUGUGUCUUCAGGCUGGAAAUUUUAUCCGGCCUUUUUUGUGACUGAUCAGGGAGGAAGAAAUGGAAAAUAUGAAAAAAGAAAACACAGGAACUGUUUUGCAAGCCCAGAACCUACAUAAAACAGGGUUUUAUAAAUAUUUUCUGAAAAUAAUUUCUUUUUACGAUGCCGUAACAGUGGCUGGCCUGGCUCGCUUGGCUUGCUGGCUGCAGUGCGUAGGCAGCUGGAGUCCCCCCACUCUCGCCCCACCCAGCCCGGCCCAGCCUGCAUCCGCCCGCCUGGGUGCUUCCUCUGCCUGGCAGCCCUGGAGGUAGGGAGGAGGUGCAAGGCUCUGCUGCCCAGCUCCAUGAGCCCUGGAGCUCCCAUACUCCUCAGCUCAUGAGCCCAAGGCUGGCAGGUCUAAGCUUGUUAGUUCUGUCCACCUGUAAUGCAGACGUGACCAGGGCAAUCCUGCUCCAAUAUACCUGGGUGAGAUCAUUCUGGAUGCCCAGCUCCGUGGCAGUAGUCCAAGCCCUCCCAGAGUUUGUGAAUUCCCUGGCCCCUGGGGCUCACACUCUUGUGGUCUCGUUGACCUCCAGCUCCCUGUCAUUGACCUUGAAGGUCUGUUUCACCCCAUGUCAAUUUGGCAGUGAAAGUCAGCCCCUUCCGUGUUCCUGCUUGUCCCAAAUCUUCACAAGCGAGGGAGAAUUUACUGGAGACGGGCAGAGCAGACAGAGGCAGGGUGCUCCCGGCAUCCAGGAAGAUGGCAUCUGCAGCUCCUCUCCCCACCGGGGAGGCAUUGUUCCCACUUUCCUCAUUUUCUUUCCGUCUUCCUGGCGCCUCGCUUCUCUUCCUUCCUUCUCUUGAUUCCUUCUUUCUCUUGCCUCCUUUUCAGGAACAAAAGGACAACAUUUCUCUCCCUGGGCAUAGAGAAUAUCUUCCCUCCACUCCUCUGAGGUGGGAGAAGGGGGUUUCCUUCCUACCUGGGCCUCCAUGGAGGCAGUCUUCCAAACAAAGAUGUUGCUCUUUCUCAAAGGAAUUUUAGUGAAUACAAUUUGCUCCUUUCAUGCAAAUAAGGAGACUGAGGUCCAGAGAGGGGCAGAGCUUGCCCAAGGCCACACAGCAGGCAGGGCAGAGCUGGGGCUGGAGCCUUCGCCCUGGGGUGGGGAUCCUGUCUCCAUCGAGAGCUCUCCUGUCUCACGCCUCCCAUGUCUCACUCCCUCCUCGGCAGCAUGUUUGGCUCUGGGAAGCUCUUCCUCACCUCCU